rnacentral:rRNA from 1 species
UUCGGACUGGAGUCUGCAACCCGACUCCACGAAGCUGGAUUCGCUAGUAAUCGCGCAUCAGCCAUGGCGCGGUGAAUACGUUCCCGGGCCUUGUACACACCGCCCGUCAAGCCAUGAAAGCCGGGGGUGCCUGAAGUCCGUGACCGUGAGGGUCGGCCUAGGGUAAAACUGGUGAUUGGGGCUAAGUCGUAACAAGGUAUC